rnacentral:rRNA from 1 species
UACGGAAGGCAGCAGUGGGGAAUAUUGCACAAUGGGCGCAAGCCUGAUGCAGCCAUGCCGCGUGUAUGAAGAAGGCCUUCGGGUUGUAAAGUACUUUCAGUCGUGAGGAAGGUGUUAAGGUUAAUAACCUUAGCAAUUGACGUUAGCGACAGAAGAAGCACCGGCUAACUCCGUGCCAGCAGCCGCGGUAAUACGGAGGGUGCGAGCGUUAAUCGGAAUUACUGGGCGUAAAGGGCACGCAGGCGGUUAAUUAAGUUGGAUGUGAAUCCCCGGGCUUAACCUGGGAAUGGCAUUCAAGACUGGUUAGCUAGAGUCUUGUAGAGGGGGUGAAUUCCAUGUGUAGCGGUGAAAUGCGUAGAGAUGUGGAGGAAUACCGGUGGCGAAGGCGGCCCCUGGGACAAAGACUGACGCUCAUGUGCGAAAGCGUGGGGAGCAAACAGGAUUAGAUACC